UACGUAGGUGUCGAGCGUUGUCCGGAUUUAUUGGGCGUAAAGAGCUCGUAGGCGGUUUGUCGCGUCUGCCGUGAAAGUCCGGGGCUCAACUCCGGAUCUGCGGUGGGUACGGGCAGACUAGAGUGAUGUAGGGGAGACUGGAAUUCCUGGUGUAGCGGUGGAAUGCGCAGAUAUCAGGAGGAACACCAAUGGCGAAGGCAGAUCUCUGGGCCGUAACUGACGCUGAGGAGCGAAAGCAUGGGGAGCGAACAGG
rnacentral:rRNA from 1 species